rnacentral:rRNA from 1 species
CCAUGCGAGUCAUUGUAGCAAUACAAGGCGGACGGCUCAGUAACACGUAGUCAACCUAACUCGUGGACGUGGAUAACCUCGGGAAACUGAGAAUAAACCACGAUAGAUCAUAGUGCCUGGAAUGGCUUAUGGUCCAAACAGUUUACUGCAAUGGGAUGGGACUGCGGCCUAUCAGCUUGUUGGUGAGGUAAUGGCCCACCAAGGCGAUUACAGGUACGGGCUCUGAGAGGAGUAGCCCGGAGAUGGGUACUGAGACACGGACCCAGGCCCUAUGGGGCGCAGCAGGCGAGAAACCUUAGCAAUGUGCGAAAGCACGACUGGGUCAGUCCGAGUGAUUCCUGAUAAAGGAGUCUUUUGCCUGUCCUAAAAGCACAGGUGAAUAAGGGGUGGGCAAGUCUGGUGUCAGCCGCCGCGGUAAUACCAGCACCUCGAGUGGUCAGGACGUUUAUUGGGCCUAAAGCAUCCGUAGCCGGCUCUGCAAGUCUUCGGUUAAAUCCACCUGCUCAACAGAUGGGCCGCUGGAGAUACUACAGAGCUAGGGAGUGGGAGAGGCAGACGGUAUUCAGUGGGUAGGGGUAAAAUCCUCUGAUCCAUUGAGGACCACCAGUGGCGAAGGCGGUCUGCCAGAACACGUUCGACGGUGAGGGAUGAAGGCUGGGGGAGCAAACCGGAUUAGAUACCCGGGUAGUCCCAGCUGUAAACGAUGCAAACUCGGUGAUGCAUUGGCUUAUGGCCAAUGCAGUGCCGCAGGGAAGCCGUUAAGUUUGCCGCCUGGGAAGUACGGACGCAAGUCUGAAACUUAAAGGAAUUGGCGGGGGAGCACCACAAGGGGUGAAGCCUGCGGUUCAAUUGGAUUCAACGCCNGGAA